UAGCCGUAAACGAUACUCGCUAGGUGUCGGCCACGGUGCGACCGUUGUCGGUGCCGUAGGGAAGCCGUGAAGCGAGCCACCUGGGAAGUACGGCCGCAAGGCUGAAACUUAAAGGAAUUGGCGGGGGAGCACCACAACGGGUGGAGCUUGCGGUUUAAUUGGAUUCAACGCCGGAAAUCUUACCGGGACCGACAGCAACAUGAAGGCCAGGCUGAAGACCUUGCCGGAUUAGCUGAGAGGAGGUGCAUGGCGUAGUCGUGU
rnacentral:rRNA from 1 species